UACUUAGUAGAGAUAGUGGNNNNNGGGUGAGUAACGCGUGGGCAACCUGCCCUGGAGACCGGGAUAACACCGCGAAAGUGGUGCUAAUACCGGAUAUGCUCUUAGUACCGCAUGGUACAGAGAGGAAAGAAAUUCGCUCCAGGAUGGGCCCGCGUCCCAUUAGCUAGUUGGUGAGGUAACUGCUCACCAAGGCGACGAUGGGUAGCCGGUCUGAGAGGAUGAACGGCCACACUGGAACUGAGACACGGUCCAGACUCCUACGGGAGGCAGCAGUGGGGAAUCUUCCGCAAUGGACGAAAGUCUGACGGAGCAACGCCGCGUGGGUGAUGAAGGUUUUCGGAUUGUAAAACCCUGUCAGGAAGGAAGAUAAUGACGGUACUUCCAAAGGAAGCCCCGGCUAACUACGUGCCAGCAGCCGCGGUAAUACGUAGGGGGCAAGCGUUGUCCGGAAUAACUGGGCGUAAAGAGCACGUAGGCGGUCUUUUAAGUCAGAUGUGAAAUAUCCCGGCUCAACUGGGAGGGUGCAUUUGAUACUGGAAGACUAGAGUGCAGGAGAGGAAAGUGGAAUUCCUAGUGUAGCGGUGAAAUGCGUAGAUAUUAGGAGGAACACCAGUGGCGAAGGCGGCUUUCUGGACUGUAACUGACGCUGAGGUGCGAAAGCCAGGGUAGCAAACGGGAUUAGAUACCCCGGUAGUCCUGGCCGUAAACGAUGGGUACUAGGUGUAGGAGGUAUCNNCCCCUUCUGUGCCGCAGUUAACACAAUAAGUAC
rnacentral:rRNA from 1 species